AUUUUAAGGAUUUUUUUUCUUAUUUUCUUAUUAUUUUAUUAGUAAUAAAAUUCAAUAACUUCCCUCUUAUGUACUGCAAAAAGAUUACACUCUGUCUAACUCAGUUGGCUCCUGUUGAUCAUACUACAACUCUUGGUUUGAUAUUUAACUAUUUUUCAUGAUUUUAAGGACUUUUUUAUUAGUAAUGAAACUGUUGUUAUAUAUAGCAGAUAUUUUUUGUUGUAACAGUUAAAAGUGGUCAUCCAUUUUUUUUUUUUUUUUUUUUGGUAGAUUGUGUAACAUUAAUAACCAAAAGUAACUGAAUUUUAAUGAUUUGGGUUGUUUAUUGCCAUGUGAAGAUGUGCACACUAUUUAGUGUGCAUGCUUGUGUGUGAAGUUUAAGGAUUAUGAGUAAAUUAGCUUUGAUGGCUCUUCUCUUGAUGUAUGUGGGGCUAUAUUUUUAGAUCCACAGUGCACCUGUUUGUCCAAAUACAUGAUACUGAAUAGUAAUGGAACUUGGACUCCUCAUCAAAGAGAGGAUCAGAUAACAUCAAUAUACCAAACUAAACUGUUUAGACUGUCUCCUCAAGUACUGACGAUUGGGAAGAAAGACAGUCAGACGCUUUCUUACGAGGCUGCAGCCUUAACUGAUUCAUUUAAACCCUAAUGUUAAACAGCUAAUAAUAUUUUCCAAGUUAAGGACUGCACGGACAAUACUUGGAAGAAAAAACCUGAAGGUAUGAUCAGUAGGACCCUUUUGAUGGUUGGAUGGCGUUUAUUUUUUCUGCAGUGUUUAAGAGUAAACUCUGUGUUUCAGGUGUUGCAGCGCCGCCCGGUGGCCGUUUGAGGAACUGCAUGGAUGUGUGCUAUGUGAGUCACCUGCACUGAUCAGCUCAUUUAGCUCACCUGUCUUCCAUCACACCUCCACUAUAUAAACCCAGCUCAGUGCCUGCUGGACCAGAGACUCAUGUUCUGCAUCAUCUCUGCGCUUCAUGGUCACAACUCUGCCCCUGUACUCCCAGCGGUUCCUGUUUAGUUCCCCACCUGGACUUAGCUUCCCUGUUUGGAUUCCCACCUGUUCCUGUUCUGUCUCCAACCUGCUGAAACUCUGUUUUGUGUUCCACCAUUUCCCGGAUUCCCUGAGCCUGCUCACCAGCCCCUUCAGUUAGUUCCUUCUUGUUGUAAGUACCCAGUUUUGUUGGAUUAGUUUAGUUUAUUCAUUUGUGGUUUACUCUGAUUUUCCCCUCAGUUGUUAGUCUAGAAUUUUGUUGUUUUUGGUAGUCUUGCCUGUUUUCCCAAUUAGGUUUUGUUUGUCAGCUUUCAGCCCUUCAUCCCUGCCUAUCCCUAGUUCCUCACUAGUUUGCAUCCCUAGGUUUCUGUUCAUUCUAAAUAAAGUUCCUUUUUCUGCUACAACCAGCUUGUCUGCUUUUGUGCCUGCAUCUGGGUUCUCCAACUCCCCCGCGUAACAGUAACGUGUCCAGAAUUAUUGAAUAUUGUCCAAAAUCGCUCAGAUUUGGUCUAAAAUUACAGAAAAGACUUGAGAACAUCUAAAAUGACUCAAAAGCUGCUGAAUAUGACCUAAAAAUGUUCAAAUGAGUAUGAGGAAAUUACCAAAAGUGACAGAUAUUGACUAAACAGACUCAAAGAAUGACUCGAGUGAUUUAAAACAUCCAAACUAUCUUUGAAAUGGUCUCAACAGGCUAAAGGAGGACAGAUGGAUGGGCGUCUUUUGUAAAUGGAGUUGGAGACAGAACAAAGCGACACCAGAACUCGGGUUCCAAUAGGAUCUUUAAUUCUAGCUACAGUUGCACAUCACGUCACGGCUUCAUGCAGACCUCUACUCUUCUAGCAGACCGUUGUACCGUCGCUACUCACAAACACAUUUAAAUUACCGGCAGCUGCUCAGAGCACAAACAAACAGAACAAACCCGAUGACGUCUGUACAGUAGAAAAAACAGGGUUUUGGUUGGUCAGGAACCCCGUGAGAUGCAGCGACGCCAGAACACCUGGAGGGGGUGCUGUGGUCCCUGGUGCAGCAGAGCGCCCCCUAGGAGCUGGCAGUUUGGUCCCUAAAACACCAUCCAGCCACUCAGCUCAGACAGGAAGUCUUUUAAUUUGGUGGUUCAGCUUCCUGUGAGCAGAUUGAGAGUUUCUUCUCCAAAGAGAAGCAGGAACGUGGACUUAACAGGACGUUCCACUAAUUAAUCCCUUUAAGAGUCUGGAUUCACCGAUUGCUUCAGGAAACAUCUUGAUUUGUCCAAUGAUCUCCAGAUGACCGUCAGAGGAGCACAGGAACCAGAGAAUUUAGAAAAAUGACUCAAACCAGUCAGUUAAUACUAACUCACCUGCUUUUAUUUUGAAGGGUAGUUUAGUUCAGUGUGGAGAUGAGUUUGGACCAAUCAGAUCCUCAGCAACUGGACUUCAGAAGCUCUGGUUGGAGGUCAUUAAGGAGAACAGAAGUCUUUGUCAUGGUGCCCCUUUACCAGCUAAACUCCCACAAUGUUCUCUGCUUUAACCUCCUCUGGUCUCUACAGGAUUAAACAGGAAGAGGCUCCACCUGCUGGAACAACCAGGAACUACAGCUGAUCUACAUUUACUAACAUCAGGACCUUCUCCUUCCUGGUAUUUUGAAGUUUUGUGUCUUGUUUUUGUCAUUUCAUGUCUCCUUCCUGGUGUUUUUUGUCUUGUUUUCAUGUCUUAUUUACAUUGUUGUGUCUUAUUUACGUUGUUUUAUUUGUGUUGUUUUGUCUUAUUUAUGUUGUCGAGUCUUCUUUGCAUUGCUGUGUCUUAUUUACAUUGUUGUUGUGUUUUUGUGUUGUCUUUGUGUUCUUAUUUACGUUGUGUCUUAUUUGUGUUGCGUCUUGUGUUGUCCUUUUUUGCGCUGUUGUCUUAUUUGCAUUGUUGUCUUUGUGUUGCUGUUGUGUCUUAUUUGUGUUGUUGUCUUCUUUAUGUUGUUGUGUCUUCUUUGUGUUGUUGUCUUUAUGUUGUCUUAUUUACAUUGUCUUUAUGUUGUCUUCUUUGUUGUCUUAUUUAUGUUGUUGUGUCCUCUUUGUGGUGUUGUGUCUUAUUUACGUUGUUGUUGUCUUCUUUGUGUUGUUGUUGUUGUCUUUAUGUUGUCUUAUUUACGUUGUUGUUGUCUUAUUUACGUCGUUGUUGUGUCUUCUUCGUGUUGUGUCUUCUUUACGUUGUCGUUUCCACCUUCAGUCAGUAC